rnacentral:rRNA from 1 species
CGAGUUGAGUUCGAGGCUCAGAUUGAACGCUGGCGGCAUGCCUUACACAUGCAAGUCGAACGGCAGCGGGGACUUCGGUCCGCCGGCGAGUGGCGAACGGGUGAGUAAAGUAUCGGAACGUACCUUUCAGUCGGGGGAUAACGUAGCGAAAGUUACGCUAAUACCGCAUAUUCUGUGAGCAGGAAAGCAGGGGGAUCGCAAGACCUUGCGCUGAUUGAGCGGCCGAUAUCAGAUUAGCUAGUUGGUCGGGGUAAAGGCCUACCAAGGCGACGAUCUGUAGCGGGUCUGAGAGGAUGAUCCGCCACACUGGAACUGAGACACGGUCCAGACUCCUACGGGAGGCAGCAGUGGGGAAUUUUGGACAAUCGGGGGCAACCCUGAUCCAGCCAUGCCGCGUGAGUGAAGAAGGCCUUCGGGUUGUAAAGCUCUUUCGGCCGGGAAGAAAUCGCAUAGGUUAAUACCCUGUGUGGAUGACGGUACCGGAAUAAGAAGCACCGGCUAACUACGUG